rnacentral:rRNA from 1 species
UACGUAGGGGGCAAGCGUUGUCCGGAUUUAUUGGGCGUAAAGAGCGUGUAGGCGGCCAGAUAGGUCAGCUGUGAAAACUCGAGGCUCAACCUCGAGAUGUCGGCUGAAACCAUCUGGCUAGAGUCCGGAAGAGGAGAAUGGAAUUCCCGGUGUAGCGGUGAAAUGCGCAGAUAUCGGGAAGAACACCCGUGGCGAAGGCGGUUCUCUGGGACGGUACUGACGCUGAGACGCGAAAGCGUGGGGAACGAACAGG